rnacentral:lncRNA from 1 species
GUUCCUUAAUUAGCAAAACCUAAGAACAGCAGAGAAUGGAGAUGAUAAUGACUAAAACACAAAAUUUGUGUUGACUGAAGAAUUUUUACAACAACAACUAAAGCAAGUUGGUAUCAACUAUUUGAAUCCUCAUUGUUCAUGUCUUUUGUACUGUGAUGAUUCAUCGUAAAUUGACUAGUGCUAAUUAUCAACCUUCCACAACCUUCACUUUAUCUGGACCUGGGACAUGCAUGGCAAGCGGAGUUGAUUGGCUAUUCUUAUAUAGUUCUUAAAGUAAAGGAAGACAAAUAGAGAAACUAAGUUAAGAUUUUGUCUUGAGUUGCACUUACAAAUACAAAGCAAUUACAAGAGCAUAGUGUUGUUGCCAAGUGUAGGGUAAACGGUGCUGCUAUUUACGGUUGGUAACAGCACAAUCAAAAGCCAGAAAGCAGUGCUAGCCAGGCCUUACUUACGGUACGUAUGUAAGGUAUAUAUAGGUAGUUCUCUGAACUGCAUGNNNN